rnacentral:lncRNA from 1 species
AUAGCAGGUUAUUAUUCCAGCUGGAUAAAUCUGGAAACUGGGGUCAUAUUUAUAUAGCAGACGUGUUAGCUGUUUCCCUGCACCAGGUCAACCAAAGCAAAAACAAGUUAAGCGCUCAUUUUGCAAAGUAGCAUUAACAUUGGAAUUAUUGUAUAAUGGACCCUGACUAGGUCUUAUGUUUUAAAUUACUGGUCUCUAUCUCCUUUAGGUUUUUACAUCAUUUCUCAUUUUUCCAUUUCAUGGAAAAAUAACAAAAGCAAAACAACUUAGUUAAGAUUUAUAAGCAAGAAUGAAGUUGAAUAAUUGUCUCAAAAAUCAGAAAACAUCUAAAUUAGAGUAAACCUGAAUCAAUACAGAUGUAUUUCUAUCUACCAGUAUGGCCAGAAUGAGUCUUUGAAUUUAAGAACGUCUAUUUUUAAAUCUGAAUGAAAUGGAUGGAAAAAGAUUCACAAACCUGGGCAAAGCCAAUUACCACACUCAUUUCUUCCUGAUGAGCAUAUGAUAUCACUUCAAUUUUUUUUCUAGUAAUCUCAUAGACAACUGCCAUGAGUAACAAUCACAAACGUCUUACCACCAAAUAAAUGCCACUUCAGACAAAGCCCUGAAUGCCACAAGGGGCACUCAACAUUAUAAUGAUAAUGCCUCAUCAUUAUCUGAUGAUUCUCUGAUGAGCAACUUACAGGAUUUGGAGUCCAGAACUUGGAUGGGGGUCCAGAAUUUGGACUAGAGUCUGCUCCAGGGAAAGCUAAAACAACCAGUGCUUUUAUUCAGUCUGGUCCAAAAGUGGGCCACUUUGGAAAGGAGGACAGAAUUCUUAGUUUCACAGAAUAGCUGAUUCUGUCGUGUCUUCUCACAGGUAAAAACAUCAUUUUUUGUCAUUAUACUAUUCUGCUUAUUAAACUUAAAAUGAUGCAUUCUGAGAAAGAGGGCAUACAAUUUUACUCUGGUCCUCAAUAAAAGUUCUCAAUGCCAUUUCUAAUCCACAGUAAAAGAUAUAAAUAUAAAAGCAUAGAUGAAAUAAAUUAGAUAAUCAAAUGUAACUACUCAAUUGAUUUAAGAAAGUCCAAGUUUUCUAGAGUAGUGAAGUCAUAUCUUUACAUAGAUCAUUUAAAAAGCAAAUAUUAAAGUGAAAUCCAUCUUCCAGGAUUUAACAAUUAGGGAAUUUGAAGGGCCCAUUCUACUAUCUUUGUGGUUUAUCUUGUUUACACGUCUUUUGUAUCACCCAAACAGAUAUCAGGAGGAUGGGGACUCUGUUUUUCACUUCCAAACCACCUGUCAAAGCGCUAGAAUAAAAUAAGCACUUAAAAAUUAAAUCAACUUGAACAAAUAUA